AGGUUGAUAGGCUGGAGGUGUAAGCACAGUAAUGUGUUCAGCUGACCAGUACUAAUCAGUCAAAAGCUUGAGUGAA
rnacentral:rRNA from 1 species